GAUGGUUUUUUAGCACAUCAUCGAGGUGUC
rnacentral:piRNA from 1 species